rnacentral:rRNA from 1 species
GAUGAACGCUAGCGGGAGGCCUAACACAUGCAAGCCGAGCGGUAUUGUUUCUUCGGAAAUGAGAGAGCGGCGUACGGGUGCGGAACACGUGUGCAACCUGCCUUUAUCUGGGGGAUAGCCUUUCGAAAGGAAGAUUAAUACUCCAUAACAUAUUGAACGGCAUCGUUUGAUAUUGAAAGCUCCGGCGGAUAGAGAUGGGCACGCGCAAGAUUAGCUAGUUGGUGAGGUAACGGCUCACCAAGGCGAUGAUCUUUAGGGGGCCUGAGAGGGUGACCCCCCACACUGGAACUGAGACACGGACCAGACUCCUACGGGAGGCAGCAGUGAGGAAUAUUGGUCAAUGGGUGCGAGCCUGAACCAGCCAUCCCGCGUGAAGGACGACUGCCCUAUGGGUUGUAAACUCCUUUUGUAUAGGGAUAAACCUACCCUCGUGAGGGUAGCUGAAGGUACUAUACGAAUAAGCACCGGCUAACUCCGUGCCAGCCGCCGCCGUAAAAC